UGAAAUGGGACCUCAGUCAGGCAACUGCAAGGAACAGAAUUCUGUCAACAUGAAUGACCUUGGGAAAGAAUUUGCCCCUAGAGCUUCCAGAAGAGAAUUUAGCUUGGCUGACACCUUGAUUUUAGCCUGUGACACCCUAAGCAGAAAACCCAACCAUACCUUGCUGGACUUCUGAUCCACAGAACUAUGCUGCAUUUUUUACAAAUUGAAGGUUUAUGACAACCCUAUGUUGAGCAAGUCUAUUGGGGCCAUUUUUCCUUUUUCAUGGUCUGAACAGCCUUUGUUGACUGCAACCGGAAAUGGAACAGGAAGGGAUACGACAGCUCUGGCUCUUGGGGUGGCUUCACCUACUUCGUCGCAGACCUCAAAAAGGGGAGCUGUUUUUCCAACAGCAUUUGUCUCUGUGUCACAUUUUGCCUACUCAUUUCCUAAAAUCAGGACAGCCAAUUAAUAACGCUACAAUGGCCUCUAAGUGUUCAAGUGAAAGGAAGAGUUAAUCGAUGGGGCAAACUUCA